rnacentral:rRNA from 1 species
GUCUAAGGCCAUGCCACCCUGAACAAGCCUGAUGUCUGAUCUCGGAAGCUAAGCAGGGUUGGGCCUAGUUAGCCCAUGGAUGGGAGACCACCUAGGAAAACCAGGUGCUGUAUUAU